rnacentral:rRNA from 1 species
AUUGAACGCUGGCGGCAGGCCUAACACAUGCAAGUCGAGCGGAGCGGCAGACGGGUGAGGAAUGCCUAGGAAUCUGCAUGUUAGUGGGGGAUAACGUCCGGAAACGGGAGCUAAUACCGACAACUAUCAGAUGAGCCUAGGUCGGAUUAGCUAGUGGGUGGGUUAAAGGCCUACCAAGGCGACGAUCCGUAACUGGUCUGAGAGGAUGAUCAGGCACACUGGAACUGAGACACGGUCCAGACGCCUACGUGAGGCAGCAGUGGGGAAUAUUGGACAAUGGGCGAAAGCCUGAUCCAGCCAUGCCGCGUGUGUGAAGAAGGUCUUCGGAUUGUAAAGCACUUUAAGUUGGGAGGCGUUACCAACAGAAUAAGCACCGGCUAACUUCGUGCCAGCAGCCGCGGUAAUUC